rnacentral:misc_RNA from 1 species
AUGAAAUGUUAGGACGCUGUUUUUACAGGUCCGACCCUUUUAUUACCUUUCACACUGUGCACAUCACUACUUUUUUACACCCAUUUUUUAAACACUUAUAAAGUCAUUAGAGUGUUUAAAAAAUGGGUGUAAAAAAGUAGUGAUGUGCACAGUGUGAAAGGUAAUAAAAGGGUCGGACCUGUAAAAACAGCGUCCCUAACAUUUCAUUAAUGAUCAUCUACCUGUCUUAGGUUCACCGUACCGGAAGGAUCAUUCAUAAUAAGUGUUUUAUGGCACUUUUUAAAUCCAUAUCCACCUUGUGUGCAAUGUCAGUCGAUCUUCUUCAUGGAGAUCGACCAAACAUCAACCUUUAUCUUUUAACUCUUUGUCUGAAAAAUAUUAUGAAUAAACAAUUCAAAAUA